UCUCCGUUGGUGAACCAGCGGAGGGAUCAUUACAGGACUCGCAAGACUCCCGUAAACCACUGUGAACCUACUACUGUUGCCUCGGCGGAGCCUACCCUGUAGCUACCCUAUAAGGUGGCUACCCUGUAGCGCCCCGCCGGUGGAUUUUCAAACUCUUGUUAUUUAUAGUAAUCUGAGAGUCUUAUUUUAAAUAAGUCAAAACUUUCAACAACGGAUCUCUUGGUUCUGGCAUCGAUGAAGAAGCAGC
rnacentral:misc_RNA from 1 species